UAUUAGUUGCACUGUUCCAUGUCU
rnacentral:siRNA from 1 species